AAAUGCGAUAAGUAAUGUGAAUUGCAGAAUUCAGUGAAUCAUCGAAUCUUUGAACGCACAUUGCGCCCGCCAGUAUUCUGGCGGGCAUGCCUGUUCGAGCGUCAUUUCAACCAUCAAGCCCCCGGGCUUGUGUUGGGGACCUGCGGCUGCCGCAGGCCCCGAAAACCAGUGGCGGGCUCGCUGUCACACCGGGCGUAUUAGAUUUUCGUCUCGCCCAGGGCGUGCUGCGGGUUCCGGCCGUUAAAAAGCCUCUCUUUUUAACCCAAGGUUGACCUCGGAUCAGGUAGGAAGACCCGCUGAACUUAAGC
rnacentral:misc_RNA from 1 species